rnacentral:rRNA from 1 species
CCUACGGGUGGCAGCAGUGGGGGAUAUUGCACAAUGGGGGGAACCCUGAUGCAGCGACGCCGCGUGGGUGAAGGAGUGCUUCGGCAUGUAAAGCCCUAUCGGCAGGGAAGAAGCAAGACGGUACCUGACUAAGAAGCCCCGGCUAACUACGUGCCAGCAGCCGCGGUAAUACGUAGGGGGCGAGCGUUAUCCGGAUUCACUGGGUGUAAAGGGAGCGUAGACGGCCAUGCAAGCCAGGGGUGAAAGCCCGGGGGCCAACCCCGUGACGGCCCUUGGAACUGUGCGGCUAGAGUGCGGGAGGUGCAGGCGGAAUUCCUGGUGUAGCGGUGAAAUGCGUAGAUAUCAGGAGGAACACCGGCGGCGAAGGCGGCCUGCUGGACCGCGACUGACGUUGAGGCUCGAAAGCGUGGGGAGCGAACAGGAUUAGAUACCCUUGUAGUC